GCCGCGUGUAGGAAGAAGGCCUUCGGGUCGUAAACUACUGUCAAGAGGGAAGAAACUGUUGGACAUUAAUACGGUCCAUCACUGACGGUACCUCUAGAGGAAGCACCGGCUAACUCCGUGCCAGCAGCCGCGGUAAUACGGAGGGUGCGAGCGUUAAUCGGAAUCACUGGGCGUAAAGCGUGCGUAGGCGGCGUGUCAAGUCAGACGUGAAAGCCCUCGGCUCAACCGGGGAAUUGCGUUUGAAACUGAUAUGCUAGAGUCUCGGAGAGGUUGGCGGAAUUCCAGGUGUAGGAGUGAAAUCCGUAGAUAUCUGGAGGAACACCGGUGGCGAAGGCGGCCAACUGGACGA
rnacentral:rRNA from 1 species